GCGAAUGACGAAGAAGCUUGCUUCUUCUGAUUUAGCGGCGGACGGGUGAGUAACACGUGGGCAACCUGCCCUGUAGAUUGGGAUAACUCCGGGAAACCGGGGCUAAUACCGAAUAAUCCAUUUCCUCACAUGUGGAGAUGUUAAAAGACGGUUUCGGCUGUCACUACAGGAUGGGCCCGCGGCGCAUUAGCUAGUUGGUGAGGUAACGGCUCACCAAGGCGACGAUGCGUAGCCGACCUGAGAGGGUGAUCGGCCACACUGGGACUGAGACACGGCCCAGACUCCUACGGGAGGCAGCAGUAGGGAAUCUUCCACAAUGGACGAAAGUCUGAUGGAGCAACGCCGCGUGAGUGAAGAAGGUUUUCGGAUCGUAAAACUCUGUUGUGAGGGAAGAACAAGUACGAGAGUAACUGCUCGUACCUUGACGGUACCUCAUUAGAAAGCCACGGCUAACUACGUGCCAGCAGCCGCGGUAAUACGUAGGUGGCAAGCGUUGUCCGGAAUUAUUGGGCGUAAAGCGCGCGCAGGCGGUCCUUUAAGUCUGAUGUGAAAGCCCACGGCUCAACCGUGGAAGGUCAUUGGAAACUGGGGGACUUGAGUGCAGAAGAGGAAAGUGGAAUUCCAAGUGUAGCGGUGAAAUGCGUAGAGAUUUGGAGGAACACCAGUGGCGAAGGCGACUUUCUGGUCUGUAACUGACGCUGAGGCGCGAAAGCGUGGGGAGCAAACAGGAUUAGAUACC
rnacentral:rRNA from 1 species